ACAGGGUCCUCCAUCGUGUAAAGGCACAACAAGAAAGCCUCCAUCGCUAAAGAAGACACCUUCCUGGAUACUCGGGCCAUACUGACAUCCUGAUCCUGACUUCUAGUCUCCAGAGCUUGUAGAGUCCAAACUCAGGGCCUUAGACAUGCCAGGUUAUAUAAACAGUAACAAUUUCUAAAGAGAGGACAUUCUGACUGAAGAAACCAACUGUGAUUGAUCCAAGGAGUUCCCUUUCAUUAUCACUCCAUGGGCUUUUCGGUGGUAAAGCUGCUUGUACUUAUCCAUGUUCCUAUAAGUAACCUCUCAACCAUACUCCUUGCUGUGAGCUUCGAUACUGAGAGGACAAGUAGGCCCUGUCUGUUGCUUAUAUAAAAUGUGUUUGCUUCAAACAAGAGUCUGUGAAAAUGGAAAAGCCAAACUGCGAGAAGCCACCACCCUACAAUUUCUACCUGCUGGUGCCACCAAGAGCCCUGGAGAGGAGACUCGCUGAGAGCUGGUGACUAAGUGUGGAAAGCCUUUAUCACUCAGGCAUGGCUUCAACUCGUAUACUUCUAAGUAUGGCUAAGGGAUGGUGAGAUGGCUCAUCCGGUGAAGCUGCUUGCUCCCAAGCCUGAAGACCUUAUUUCAAUCCAUGUGACCCAUGUGAUAGAGAAUGAACUCCCAAAAGUUGUCCUCUGU
rnacentral:sRNA from 1 species